rnacentral:sRNA from 1 species
AAAAAUAAAAUAAAAGAAA